rnacentral:rRNA from 1 species
GCAGCAGUGGGGAAUAUUGCUCAAUGGGCGCAAGCCUGAUGCAGCCAUGCCGCGUGUAUGAAGAAGGCCUUCGGGUUGUAAAGUACUUUCAGUCGUGAGGAAGGGGUGUACGUUAAUAGCGUGCAUCUUUGACGUUAGCGACAGAAGAAGCACCGGCUAACUCCGUGCCAGCAGCCGCGGUAAUACGGAGGGUGCGAGCGUUAAUCGGAAUUACUGGGCGUAAAGCGCAUGCAGGUGGUUCGUUAAGUCAGAUGUGAAAGCCCGGGGCUCAACCUCGGAACUGCAUUUGAAACUGGCGGACUAGAGUACUGUAGAGGGGGGUAGAAUUUCAGGUGUAGCGGUGAAAUGCGUAGAGAUCUGAAGGAAUACCAGUGGCGAAGGCGGCCCCCUGGACAGAUACUGACACUCAGAUGCGAAAGCGUGGGGAGCAAACAGGAUUAGAUACCCUGGUAGUCCACGCCGUAAACGAUGUCUACUUGGAGGUUGUGGCCUUGAGCCGUGGCUUUCGGAGCUAACGCGUUAAGUAGACCGCCUGGGGAGUACGGUCGCAAGAUUAAAACUCAAAUGAAUUGACGGGGGCCCGCACAAGCGGUGGAGCAUGUGGUUUAAUUCGAUGCAACGCGAAGAACCUUACCUACUCUUGACAUCCAGAGAACUUAGCAGAGAUGCUUUGGUGCCUUCGGGAACUCUGAGACAGGUGCU